rnacentral:lncRNA from 1 species
UGAAGAUUGUGAUUGAUUGUAUCUGAUGGUGUCCGAUGCAGAAAUAUCCUUCCAAUCUUCUUUGUUACCUUUUUAUUUGAGCGGAAAGACAGAUAGAGAGAGAGAGAAAGGUAGAGAGACAGGGCCAGAGAGAGUGAGAGAGAGAAAGAGAAAGGUAGAUAGAGAGAGAGGGGUAAAGGUAGAGAGACAGGGCCAGAGACAGAGAGAGAGAGAGAGAGAGAAAGGUAGAUAGAGAGAAGUGUUGUGUCUAAGGAAGGUUUAGAGUCGACUAAAUACAUUCUGGGCUACACAAAAGAAGCUCCGUACAAUGUGUAUCAUAUUUGACGGAGGGGUUGUCAAAGCACCAUUUUCAUUUUUGUUCCACUUACUUACAGAAAUACUUUUCUCGAUACCAAACAUUCACACAAUUGAAGUUUGAGUUAUUUAUUAUUUAGCUAUGUUUUCGUGUUUUUUUUUUUGCAUCAGGAUGUACUGUAUUAUAGAAUCACAAGAUCAUAUUCAGGAAAUAUUAGGUGUACUGUUGCUUUUAUGUAAGAUAAUUGAAACCAAAAUGAAUCCAAGACUUCUUCGGGCAUCUUCUCUUUCAUGCAUCACCUUUUGUCAUAGCAACUAUUGGUUACCAUCCUCUUAAGUCGAUAGCAUGUACAGUAUUGGCCCUUUUUAAAAGAUACCUUGACUCAAUAAUGGGUGUGUAUAGCAUCCUCACAGUAGCAUAGAUAAACACAGACAGACAUUUACACUAAUCCUGGUUGAAGAAUAAGACCAU